GCGGGGGUGCCCGAGCCAGGUCAAAGGGGACGGGCUCAGAUCCCGUUGGCGAAGGCCUGCGUGGGUUCGAAUCCCACCCCCCGCACCA
rnacentral:tRNA from 2 species